GUAGGUGCACCUGCGGAAGGAUCAUUAACGUAUCCAACGUUAAAAACCCCCCCGUGAACCUACAACAUAUGGUUGCAAUCCCUGGUAAAUCAUUGCCGAACAGUUUUGAUUCAGGGACAUCAAGCACGUUAGUGUCCUGAUGCGAGUGGCAAGUGAGGGAGUCAGUCAGGGGGUUGUUAAAGUGUUCAACCUGAUUGUCAUCUUGUAAGUUGAGAGUGUCUUUUGAUUUUGAACGGGUAGACCACCUGUGGCCGACACGGCCGUGAUGGGAUUCUGGCGUCGUGCCUAUAGGUACGAACUAGCGCCCGACAUGACCUCUUGAAACGACAGGGGCGUAACCGGACCAAUUUUUUAAUCUGCCCCUUACCCUAACAGGUACUCGGGUGUCAAACGAACAACUGUUAACAAUGGAUAUCUUGGUUCUC
rnacentral:misc_RNA from 1 species